UGAUAUUUCUCCUACCACUCU
rnacentral:siRNA from 1 species